rnacentral:rRNA from 1 species
UACGGGGGGAGCAAACGUUGUUCGGAAUCACUGGGCGUAAAGGGCGUGUAGGCGGCUGAAUAAGUGGGAUGUUAAAUCCCCCGGCUCAACCGGGGACCUGCAUCUCAUACUGUUCAGCUCGAGCACAUCAGAGGAGACUGGAAUUCCCGGUGUAGCGGUGAAAUGCGUAGAUAUCAGGAGGAACACCGGUGGCGAAGGCGGAUCUCUGGACCAGUUCUGACACUGAUGAGCGAAAGCCAGGGGAGCAAACAGG